rnacentral:lncRNA from 1 species
UUCUUUUUAGUUUCUUUAUUAGUUUUUCAGCACAGUUAACUCUCUCUACGUUGACAAGGAUUUUUAUUUGUUUUAUAUUUUGUCAUCUCAAAAUCUCAUGACAUCAGCCACCAGAAUACACAAAAUUAGGCUCUUCACUUUGUACAGAGAGGAAAAUAAUAAACUCCAUUAAAAGUUCACUUUGACCAAAGAGACAGCCUCUGAUGGAAAACCACACGCAAGAGGACCCAAUAUACAUAUAUAUAUAUAAUGUAUAGAUAUUUAUAGAUAUCUCAUCUGAAAGAACACAGCAGAAAAGAAAAAAAAAAAUCCCAGAGUCGCAGCGCUACCUACAGUAAGAGGGAUUAAUUCUACCAGCUUUUCAAACAGUCACAUUCGAUACUCAAGGGAAGCAGGUGAGUAAACAGGACUGGGGGCAGACUACACUCCACCGGGCUCCAGAGCAGUCUAGUAAUGGCUUAAGAUUAUAGAAGGGAGCGAUGUGUGCACAGGAAAUGGGGAUGCAGUGUCCUCUCAGGCUCCCAGCACCCCCUCACCCCCCACACUCCCCCCUCCGACAGCCCUGCAGUUUUCACUGCUCUCUCCCCUCUGUCUUCACUCGUCUGGGGGCUUGUGGCAACUGAUUUAGGCUCAAAGACAAAUGGCUUCUGGUUUCUGGGCCAGGAGAUUCUACCUGAUAAGGUGAGUGGAUGGCAGUGUACUUCAGGUGACAGGCUUCAGGUGGCAGGAACCUUCACCUCCCACCCCAGGACCCAGGGAGCCCCAGGCCCAGCCCACUCUAACAGGCUGAGAAGGUGAUGUGGGACUGUGAAGUCCCGCAACCUUGGACCAGUCCUCUCCAAAUAAACUUUCCCUUCCUAGUGAUGCUUGCACGACACUGGCAUGGCUUGACCAGAACUCUCCCUAGGUAUUUCUCCACGUUUCUGGAGGCCUUGGCUAUACUGCUGCUGAUUGGGUUGUCCUCCAUGGAAACUGGGAGCAAAAAAGGGGUCUAGAGGAAUCUCUGCCCCGCUCCUGCUGGCUCCCCACGGCAGUCCCCACGAAGUUCUCAGGGGUGCAGCCAGCACUCACAGACUAUCCCAGCCUUUAACCUCAGCCCCCAUGUCUGGUCCCUACGGAGACAGAGGACCAGGCGACUUUCUGCCUCAGGCUUAGAAAUGGGACAGGGCCAGGAGGUGGCAGAGAGUGUGGGCUGGAAGGGACAAUUCAUGGAGUUCCUGCCCUCAAGGUCCGGCCUGUUCUAUCCUUGGGCAGGAAAACCCUCUUCAGCUUCUGCCUGCCUGGCCCUGCAGCACCAGCCCUGCGAGUGCCCCCUUGUGGCUGCUGUUCAGAUGAUCGUCACAUGUGCUACAAGACAAACACACGUGUUGGGUGGAAGGGUUAGGGGAAAGGGGCCUGCAGAGCUCCAGGGCUCCCUGCCUCCCAGCGCUCCCUGCUGCUGUCUCCUGGCUCUCAUGCCAGGAGUUAGACCUCGUGCUCCUGCUGUCCCAGUGCCCACCACCCAAAACCCCAUCCCAUCUUCAAACCUGCCUGCCCAACGAGGUCAUCCCUUGCUCCUUCUUUAACCCAGGAUAUUAGCCUGGAUCCUAGCCAGAGAAGGACUCAAACUCUUUCCUUAGUUAAUUCCCUUCCUCCCAGGACCCCCCCCCCCCGCCCCCCGACGGUCCCUAGGCCAUCAGCAGUUGGAAGAGAGGAGUCUAAGUCAGCUAAGCAAGUUAACAAAGUGUGGGGGGGAAGUGAGCCCCUCAAACCAUCUGGAGACUGUUCCGUUGCAGCACCUAAGAUAGAUCCCUUCAUCUUUUUAACCAAAAGAGAAGUAACCCCACUUCCUCCCUUUUGCCCUCACAAAAAUAAACUAAAGGGAAAAUGAGCCGG